rnacentral:rRNA from 1 species
GCAAUACUUAGUGGCAGACGGGUGAGUAACAUGUGGGUAUCUACCCUUUGGCCUGGAAUAACACGAGGAAACUUGUGCUAAUACCGGAUAAGUCUUUACGGAGAAAGCUUUAUGCACCAUUGGAUGAGCCCGCACUUGAUUAGUUUGUUGGUAGGGUAAUGGCCUACCAAGACUAUGAUCAAUAGCUGAUUUGAGAGGAUGAUCAGCCACAUUGGGACUGAGACACGGCCCAAACUCCUACGGGAGGCAGCAGUGGGGAAUCUUGCACAAUGGAGGAAACUCUGAUGCAGCGAUGCCGCGUGAGUGAAGAAGGCCUUUGGGUUGUAAAGCUCUUUCGUCGGGGAAGAAAAUGACUGUACCCGAAUAAGAAGGUCCGGCUAACUUCGUGCCAGCAGCCGCGGUAAUACGAAGGGACCUAGCGUAGUUCGGAAUUACUGGGCUUAAAGAGUUCGUAGGUGGUUGAAAAAGUUGGUGGUGAAAUCCCAGAGCUUAACUCUGGAACUGCCAUCAAAACUUUUCAGCUAGAGUAUGAUAGAGGAAAGCAGAAUUUCUAGUGUAGAGGUGAAAUUCGUAGAUAUUAGAAAGAAUACCAAUUGCGAAGGCAGCUUUCUGGAUCAUUACUGACACUGAGGAACGAAAGCAUGGGUAGCGAAGAGGAUUAGAUACCCUCGUAGUCCAUGCCGUANACGAUGUGUGUUAGACGUUGGAAAUUUAUUUUCAGUGUCGCANGGAAACCGAUAAACACACCGCCUGGGGAGUACGACCGCAAGGUUAAAACUCAAAUGAAUUGACGGGGACCCGCACAAGUAGUGGAGCAU